rnacentral:rRNA from 1 species
AUGGAUCCGGCCCCCGAUCCGCCCGCCGCCGCCGGCGAGGCCCUGGCCGCGCUCUCCCUCCGCGCCGCCGACCUGCCGGCGGACUUCGCCGCCUCCGCCGCCGGCGGCGGCCACGAGAUCGCCGAGGAGGAGGACGAGGACGACGAGGAGGGGUACGUGACGGCGGCGUCCAGGGGCGGGAGCAGCACGGCCGCGUCCCGGCGGAGGGAGGAGUUCGAGGGGCUCGAGGAGGAGGACGAGGACGGCCCGCCCAGCCCCAGCAGCAGCGGCUACGCCGGCGAGCGCGGCAGCAGCGUCGCCUCCCCCUCCGGCGGCAUCGAGGAGGAGGAGCCCGACCCCGCCCCGCCCCUCCCCCCCGGCGCCGAGGACUGGGCGCGCGGCAAGAAGCACGCCGACGAGGAUGAUGGUUCAGCUUCAUGGAGGAAGAGGAAGAAGCAUUUCUUCAUCUUGAGCAAUUCCGGCAAGCCGAUAUACUCUAGGUAUGGAGAUGAGCACAGGUUAGCUGGGUUUUCUGCUACACUGCAAGCGAUUGUUUCUUUUGUGGAGAACAGAAAGAAACACGAGAGGGAUAAGCGAUGUAUACCCUCCAAUCGGCCACGCGGCGGCGGUGACAGUGGCAGCAGCCGCGGCAUCAUCGGCAACCUUCUUGUCGGCCUCGGCCUUCUCAGCGGUGGCACGAUCGGCGUCGGUCGACAUGGUGAUGACGAAGCAUCUCCCAGCCCGCCCAGCCCCAGCAGCAGCGGCUACGCCGGCGAGCGCGGCAGCAGCGUCGCCUCCCCCUCCGGCGGCAUCGAGGAGGAGGAGCCCGACCCCACCCCGCCCCUCCCCCCCGGCGCCGAGGACUGGGCGCGCGGCAAGAAGCACGCCGACGAGGAUGAUGGUUCAGCUUCAUGGAGGAAGAGGAAGAAGCAUUUCUUCAUCUUGAGCAAUUCCGGCAAGCCGAUAUACUCUAGGUAUGGAGAUGAGCACAGGUUAGCUGGGUUUUCUGCUACACUGCAAGCGAUUGUUUCUUUUGUGGAGAACAGUGGUGAUCAUAUCAAAUUUGUGAGAGCUGGGAAACAUCAGAUAGUUUUCCUUGUCAAAGGUCCGAUUUAUUUAGUUUGUAUAAGUUGCACCAAAGAGACGUUUGAAGGAUUGAGGGGCCAACUAGAGCUCAUGUAUGGUCAGAUGUUGCUUAUUUUGACAAAGUCGGUCAACAGGUGCUUUGAGAAGAAUCCCAAAUUUGAUAUGGCACCACUUCUAGGUGGCACAGAUGCGGUUUUCCUCUCUCUUAUACGUGCAUUCAGCUGGAAUCCCGCUACAUUUCUUCAUGCAUACACAUGCCUUCCCCUUGCCCAAGCAACAAGACAGGCUGCUACCGCAGUUUUGCAGGACAUUGCUGAUUCGGGAGUUCUGUUUGCACUGUUGAUGUGUGAUCACAAGUUACUUCUGAAAACUCUUUAG